CUGCUUUGAAGGUGGGUUCUUGAGCCACUGGGGAAGCCUUAAGCAUAUUUCCAGUAGUUCCCAAAAUAAUUUAGACAUUAAUAAAUAAAAAUAGUUAUCUUUCAGUCUUAGACUUCAGAUUGGGGUGGAAGAGGCUUAUUUUUUAUUUCCUCUAUGCUGUUUGCAUUUCAUAAUGCUUAUGCAUCUAUUACUUCUUAAUUUUUUAGGUAAUAAUUUCAAAUUUUGACUGAUCUUUUUUUAGGUUUUAUUUUAUUUACUUAUUUUGGGGGAAACUUAGUUCCCCAGCCAGGGAUUGAACCCACACUCCUUGCACUGGAAAUGUGGAGUCUUAACCACUAGACAGCUAGGAAAGUCCCCUGACUGCAUCUUAGAAUAGCUAAGGACCAAAUGAUGGUUUUUUUUCAGUCCAAAUUCUUAUUUUCUGAAUGGAGCAGUGGUGGGUGAAGAGUGAAAAAAGUAAGAAAGUUUGAAAGCAGGCACAUGAAAAAAGAAGCUAAUGACACUACUCAUUAAUUAAAUGAGUGGAUUGCUUUAAACUGCUUUACAUAUUACAAUGUGGAUGAGGGAAAUACAUGAAAGUAUGUUUCAAGUUGGGAAAAAUAUCUCUCUUUUAAUACAGAUGAUACUGAGAAUUACUGUUUGUUCUUGGGAGAUGUGUUCAGAAUACUCAAUCUAGUUUGUUUGUUUGUUUUUAAUCCACAUUCCUACUUUUGCUGUCCAAAAUUGGGAAAAAUGAGAGGUAGAGACCAUGGAAGGUACCAGAGCUGAAGGGGCUCAAACCUACUCUGGGCUUUUAUAGUGAGCCCCAGAGUUGUUGCAUAGGCUAGAUAAAUAGUAGUGAAUGAUUAGAAACUUUCCUCCACAAUAGCUCACUAUGGUUUAAAAAAAAAAAAAAGACAUAAGCUUUGGACAGAGGCAGGCUUGCAUUUUAAUCUCAGGGUUACCCUCUAUGACCUUGGGCAAUUUGCUUGGAUUCUCUGAACUUCAAUUUCCAUUGCUGGCAAAUGGAGAAACAACAUUUAGUCCAUAUGGUUGUCAUAAAAAAUAAUGAGAUCAUAUAUGCAAGGGGUUUUACAGAAUGCCUUGCACACAGGAGGACCUCAGUAAAACGCAUCCAUCGCUGAGGAGGAAAGAGGUUGAACAAGACUCUGCAUCUUUGUUGUACACAUACAACAACUCCAUUGAGUGGGAUUCUUAGAUAUUAGUGGGUUUUUCAAAGCACUAGCUUGUUUAUUAAUCCCUGCAAAAUGUAUUUACUGACUGCUGUACCAAGGGUUUUGAGUAAGAUGACAACAGGAAUGAUCCCAAGCAAGCCAGCCUUCCCAGGCCAACUUGUUGCUAGCUGUGGUUCCAGGAAUCAGAUUUAGAUGAGGCAUUCCCUGGUGGCUCAGAUGGUAAAAAAUCUGCCUGCAAUAUAGGAGACCCAGGUUCAAUCCCUGGGUCCAGAAGAUCCCCUGGAGAAGGGAAUGGCUACCUACUCCAGUAUUCUUGCCUGGAGAAUUCCAUGGACAGAGGAGCCCAGUGGGCUAUAGUCCAUGGGGUCACAAAGAGUUGGA
ensembl:lncRNA